rnacentral:rRNA from 1 species
GACGAACGCUGGCGGCGUGCCUAACACAUGCAAGUCGAGCGGAGUCGAUCGACGGAAGCCUUCGGGCGGAAGAUGGUUGACUUAGCGGCGGAUGGGUGAGUAACGCGUGGGCAACCUGCCUCGAAGACCGGGAUAACAGCCCGAAAGGGCUGCUAAAUACCGGAUGUGGUCAAGGAUCCGCAUGGAUUUUUGAUUAAAGGGGAAACCCGUUUCGAGAUGGGCCCGCGUCCUAUCAGCUAGUUGGUGAGGUAAAAAGCUCACCAAGGCGACGACGGGUAGCCGGCCUGAGAGGGUGACCGGCCACACUGGAACUGAGACACGGUCCAGACUCCUACGGGGGGCAGCAGUGGGGAAUCUUCCACAAUGGGCGAAAGCCUGAUGGAGCGACGCCGCGUGAGCGAAGAAGGCCUUACGGGUUGUAAAGGCUACUGUCUGGAGGGACGAAGGAAGUAGACGGUACCUACCGGGACGGAAGCCAACCGGCUAACCGUACGUGCCGAGCAGCCGCGGUAACACCCUCCGUCUCUA